CCUACGGGGGGCUGCAGUGGGGAAUAUUGGACAAUGGGCGAAAGCCUGAUCCAGCCAUGCCGCGUGUGUGAAGAAGGCCUUCGGGUUGUAAAGCACUUUCAGUGGGGAAGAAAGCCUUGGGGCUAAUACCCUCGAGGAAGGACAUCACCCACAGAAGAAGCACCGGCUAACUCCGUGCCAGCAGCCGCGGUAAUACGGAGGGUGCGAGCGUUAAUCGGAAUUACUGGGCGUAAAGCGCGCGUAGGCGGUCUGAUAAGCCGGUUGUGAAAGCCCCGGGCUCAACCUGGGAACGGCAUCCGGAACUGUCAGGCUAGAGUGCAGGAGAGGAAGGUAGAAUUCCCGGUGUAGCGGUGAAAUGCGUAGAGAUCGGGAGGAAUACCAGUGGCAAAGGCGGCCUUCUGGACUGACACUGACGCUGAGGUGCGAAAGCGUGGGUAGCAAACAGGAUUAGAUACCCCAGUAGUC
rnacentral:rRNA from 1 species